rfam:Myotis davidii contig167164, whole genome shotgun sequence.
GGCGGUUCUCGGGUGAUGCACACUGGAACCAGAGAGGAGGGAGCCUGAUUCCAGUGUGCGUCACCUGAGAACCACC